rnacentral:rRNA from 1 species
UGUAUAAUGGGUCAGCGACUUAUAUUCUGUAGCAAGGUUAACCGAAUAGGGGAGCCGAAGGGAAACCGAGUCUUAACUGGGCGUUAAGUUGCAGGGUAUAGACCCGAAACCCGGUGAUCUAGCCAUGGGCAGGUUGAAGGUUGGGUAACACUAACUGGAGGACCGAACCGACUAAUGUUGAAAAAUUAGCGGAUGACUUGUGGCUGGGGGUGAAAGGCCAAUCAAACCGGGAGAUAGCUGGUUCUCCCCGAAAGCUAUUUAGGUAGCGCCUCGUGAAUUCAUCUCCGGGGGUAGAGCACUGUUUCGGCAAGGGGGUCAUCCCGACUUACCAACCCGAUGCAAACUGCGAAUACCGGAGAAUGUUAUCACGGGAGACACACGGCGGGUGCUAACGUCCGUCGUGAAGAGGGAAACAACCCAGAC